rnacentral:rRNA from 1 species
AGCGAACGCUGGCGGCAGGCCUAACACAUGCAAGUCGAACGAAGUCUUCGGACUUAGUGGCGGACGGGUGAGUAUCACGUGGGAACGUGCCUUUAGGUUCGGAAUAACUCAGGGAAACUUGUGCUAAUCCCGAAUGUGCCCUUCGGGGGAAAGAUUUAUCGCCUUUAGAGCGGCCCGCGUCUGAUUAGCUAGUUGGUGAGGUAAAGGCUCACCAAGGCGACGAUCAGUAGCUGGUCUGAGAGGACGAUCAGCCACAUUGGGACUGAGACACGGCCCAAACUCCUACGGGAGGCAGCAGUGGGGAAUCUUGCGCAAUGGGCGAAAGCCUGACGCAGCCAUGCCGCGUGGAUGAUGAAGGUCUUAGGAUUGUAAAAUCCUUUCACCGGUGAAGAUAAUGACUGUAGCCGGAGAAGAAGCCCCGGCUAACUUCGUGCCAGCCGCCGCAGUAACAC